CAGGAAAUGAUGCAAUGUCACAUGAUUUUGUUCUCUCUUGCAACCUCAUGGCAAGGUGAAGCAACAAUUUUUAGAAAUGUGCUUGAUGUGGUUUACUUUAUAAGAAUGCUGUCGAAUAUGCUCCAUUUUAUGCACUCCAAUUAAAUACCAACGGAGAAUUUGGAGACCAGAUCUAGCUAACGGCAUUUUUGACUGUUUCUAUGUGUGUGAUGGACUGAGUAGACCAGACAGAAGAAAGGUCAGAGGAGGCUUCAAUUUUACCAUGAUUCAUUCCUAAAUCUUGCCGGCAAUGUUACUGCUUGCUAAUGCAAAGGAACUUACAGUAAACUGAAUGUUGAAGAUGGGCGUUCUUGAAUUUUGGAAGAAAUAAUGUAUAAAGCAUUCUCUCAACUCUCAUCUUUCCCAGGCUUCUAAAACAGGAACAAAAACUAAAUUACACAAUUAAUCUUUGACAUAAUUUGCCUGUUUCUAUAACAUUCAUCAUAGAAUGAACCAUUUCUGCUACUGAAUCCUUAAAA